UCUUUUAUGGUUAUUACUCUUUCGUCAUAUGAUUUUCUGUUAAUCAUGUGAUAAAGCACGCCAAUUUGUUUUAUUUUUAAAAUUCAUAAUUUCAAACAUAAUCAUCUGACGACUACGUAAACUAUUUGCAAUUAACAUAAUUAACUUCUUGCAGCGGAUCUGGAAUGGUAAUUGGUAUAAUGAAAUAUUUUUAUUAGUGCAUUCCUUGCUGGCACGAGCUCGCAUCUUUAAUGCUAAUAUGUAUAGCUACGCAAUGUAAAUGUUCAUUUAGUGUUAGUCUAAAGAUUGUAUAAGUGAUUAAACAAUGUUUGCGUGUAAACUACUAUGUGUUCUUUUUAUAGACGUGAUGUCUGUAAAUGUUAAUAACUAGCUUGUCUAAUGAGACUGUGUUAGUAUGCAACGCAUACACGUACAAAUGACAGUAAAAUGUAUUUGUGUUUAAUAAAAUAUGUCUUCUGUGAUUAUUGUCCUUUCUGCAGUGGGUGUUCUGGGCAAGAAAUUGAUUUGCAUCACACCAUGUCUUCUACCUUAACAAAAUGAUGGGAAAUUUACGGAGAUUUUGUGUAAUGUUGCAACCUUGGUGCGAUUCGGAAAAACCCACUGAUCGACGUGUCCAAUUUGAUUUUAUUAGUUGGCUACAAUUUAGUUUAGUUCUAGAUUUUGGAUUUCUCUGGUUCACAAUGCUAAAAGUGAGGGUUUCACGUUUGGUAUUGUCACUUCCUUAAACGACCAAACUUUAGCCCCCUACAUGAUAUACGAUAGACAGCGUCGCCCCCGACGACGAUCAUGAAAUAUCAGUAUCCCUUAUGAAGUUAUGACUCUACUUUGACUUACAUUAAAGAUGUAAAUUGAAAAUAAAGUUAUUAUAGAUAUUUGAAAUUUUUUACAAUCUCAACGUUUGUUAACAAAAUAAUCAGAAUAGUUUGUAAUUUGAUAAACGUGAUAACAUUUGCGAUUAAGAAAUUACAAAGGUUGUGAUAAUUGUAUUAAGUAUGAACGUAUUGUAAUCAUGGAACACCUUACACCCUGCAACACCAUAACAGAGGGAAAUUUUAGGCGAUUCUGCGCAUGUGUGAUUUCUUUCUAGCACAAUUUC